UAUCAUAGAAUGGUUUGGGUUGGAAGGGACCUUAAAGAUGUAGUUCCAACCCCUCUGCCAUGAGUAGGGACACCUUUCCCUAGAUUUAUAUUUGUCAUCCCCAAAUUAAAAACCUAACAGCUACUCGGUAAAUUCUUCUGUUCCCAACUCAAUCCAAAGUUUGUACAUUUGAAGAACCAAUACUUACAGCUAAUGAAUAUUCUACUCUAAUAAUGCAGCAGUCAAGUAUAGAGGGGGAUACAGGUGGGAUUUUCAGAGUUUUCCCAUUCCAGGUAUCUGUACUCCCAGAGGCAAUGUGGUUUCCUCGGACAUUGGCAACCAUCUGACGGAAGGUUUUUGUCUUCCCACUGGCCAGCUGGCUUUGAAGGGGGGAGGAGGAGUGGAGGAAGGACCCUCUUACCAAGAGAGCUGGUGAGCUGACGUCGAUAUGGCUGAUGACCUGGAGCUCUGUCUGCACACUCUGAUCAGGAGCUGCAGGCCUCUCCAGGAUGGCUUUCACAUAGUACUGAAUACUGCCAUACUUCCCAGUAAAAGAGGUCACCAGAGGUCUGAAACAAGCAGUCACAAAACCAUUACCCUUAAUUAAUAAUUCAGUUCCAAACGUGAGCACUUCCCGUGUACACGAACGUUUAACCAAUUUACAGCUCGUACUUUUAGGGCCUGGGGGAAACUGAAGCCAACAAGGCCUGUCUGUGGGGUCUGAUUAAGAGAAACAUAUAAAGCUGAUACUAAAAAAAACACAAGUCAAAUUACAUUAAGAUAAUGUUGCACUACAAGCAGUGUCCAGCACAAUCCCUUCAGGUUGGAUUACUUAACUUACUCUUGAGGGAGCUGAAAGCUGAACGGAAAUUCGUGUCUUCCAUCUAGAAGAAUUAAGUUUUCCUCACCUGUAGGAUGAAAAUGAAUAGUAUGUUUUAGUUAUUCCAGAAAUAGAACAAAGCAGAUGCUUUUAUAAGUUAUUUAUUGUAUAAGAACACCCAGAUACCAGAAGUUUUUAUUGAUCCCA